AACGCACGAGACCUGCGGACCUGCGGAAGGAUCAUUGACAAAUCUAAACACACUGUUGCAGCUUGGAGAAGGAGUGGAGCGUUCUGUUCUGCUGCUGCUUCAAGUUGCCAACAACAUCCUAACCUGUGAAUUGGCAGUGCGCAAGUGCUGCUUGUUGGUGGUGGGUGGUGGUGACAUUUUGCUCUCAUUGCACUUUUCCCUCCGCUCUCCCCAAACAUUUACGUAAUUGUCUUACACAAC
rnacentral:misc_RNA from 1 species